UACGGGGGGAGCAAGCGUUGUUCGGAUUUACUGGGCGUAAAGGGCGCGUAGGCGGUCAGCACAAGUCAGUUGUGAAAUCUCCGGGCUUAACCCGGAAAGGUCAACUGAUACUGUGCGACUAGAGUGCGGAAGGGGCAACUGGAAUUCUCGGUGUAGCGGUGAAAUGCGCAGAUAUCAGGAGGAACACCGGUGGCGAAGGCGGGACUCUGGGCCGAUACUGACGCUGAGGAGCGAAAGCGUGGGGAGCAAACAGG
rnacentral:rRNA from 1 species